rnacentral:rRNA from 1 species
CAGGCUCUCUUAGCAAUAGGAGAGNUUGAAAUAAUAAUGGAGAGUUUGAUCCUGGCUCAGAACGAACGCUGGCGGCGCGUCUUAAGCAUGCAAGUCGAACGGCAAGGGAGGAGCUUGCUUCUCCCCUAGAGUGGCNGACUGGUGAGUAACGCGUGGGUGAUCUACCCUUAAGAUGGGGAUAGCUCCUAGAAAUAGGAGGUAAUACCGAAUACGCUUAUACGGAUAAAGCCGUAUAAGGAAAGGAGGCUGCGGCCNNGCUUGAGGAUGAGCCCGCGUCCCAUUAGCUUGUUGGUGAGGUAACGGCUUACCAAGGCUACGUAUGGNAUCCGGCCUGAGAGGGUGGACGGACACAUUGGGACUGAGAUACGGCCCAAACUCCUACGGGAGGCAGCAGCUAAGAAUAUUCCGCAAUGGACGGAAGUCUGACGGAGCGACGCCGCGUGGACGAAGAAGGCCGAAAGGUUGUAAAGUUCUUUUGCCGAUGAAGAAUAAGAGGAUGAGGGAAUGCGUCCUUGAUGACGGUAGUCGAGCGAAUAAGCCCCGGCUAAUUACGUGCCAGCAGCCGCGGUAACACGUAAGGGGNNAGCGUUGUUCGGAAUUAUUGGGCGUAAAGGGCACGCAGGCGGGUUGGUAAGCCUGNUGUGAAAUACUCAAGCUUAACUUGAGAAUUGCAUUGGGUACUGCCAGUCUUGAAUCACGGAGGGGAAACCGGAAUUCCAAGUGUAGGGGUGGAAUCUGUAGAUAUUUGGAAGAACACCGGUGGCGAAGGCGGGUUUCUGGCCGAUGAUUGACGCUGAGGUGCGAAGGUGUGGGGAGCAAACAGGAUUAGAUACCCUGGUAGUCCACACAGUAAACGAUGUACACUAGGUGUUGGGGCAAGAGCUUCAGUGCCGGCGCAAACGCAAUAAGUGUACCGCCUGGGGAGUAUGCCCGCAAGGGUGAAACUCAAAGGAAUUGACGGGGGCCCGCACAAGCGGUGGAGCAUGUGGUUUAAUUCGANNNUACGCGAGGAAUCUUACCUGGGUUUGACAUCAAAAGCAAUAUUAUAGAGAUAUGGUAGCGUAGCAAUACGGCUUUUGACAGGUGCUGCAUGGCUGUCGUCAGCUCGUGCCGUGAGGUGUUGGGUUAAGUCCCGCAACGAGCGCAACCCCUACUGUCAGUUGCUNACAGGUAAAGCUGAGGACUCUGGCGGAACUGCCGAUGACAAAUCGGAGGAAGGUGGGGAUGACGUNNAGUCAUCAUGGCCCUUAUGUCCAGGGCUACACACGUGCUACAAUGGUUGCUACAAAGUGAAGCGAGACUGUGAGGUUAAGCAAAUCGCAAAAAAGCAAUCGUAGUUCGGAUUGAAGUCUGAAACUCGACUUCAUGAAGUUGGAAUCGCUAGUAAUCGCACAUCAGCACGGUGCGGUGAAUACGUUCCCGGGCCUUGUACACACCGCCCGUCACACCAUCCGAGUUGAGGGUACCCGAAGUCGCCAGUCUAACCCGUAAAGGAGGGCGGUGCCGAAGGUAUGUUUGGCANGGANNNNNNNNNNGUAACAAGNNNNNNNNNNNNNNNNNNNNNNNNNGAUCACCUCCUUU